rnacentral:lncRNA from 1 species
CAAAAACCUCAUGUCCAUCUGAAGAUAAGCAUUUCAACAUCCCCUCAGAUACCUUCUUGUAUUAUGAAAGUGAGGAAAGGGUCUGACCUUAUCCUUGUUCAUCCAUGCUAAACAGCCAAAUUAUGAGCACCAGAUCUACACCCUGAGAGAUGUGCACAUCCUAAAGUUCUUCCUCCAAAGAUCUACUGCUUUGCUGUAGCUAUGAGCCACAACAGCAACAAAGGAUAUGUUAAUCUACUAAGGAAUAAGUGUUUUGUGAAAACAUGGAGAAUCCAGAACUAUAUGCAACUCACACAAGUAAAUUCAUACAAACAUUGCCUUGUGAAGGCCAGCUUCCCAGUAUUUCCUGGAGAAUAUUGCAAAGGAGCCUGCAAGUUUGCAAAUUAUUUGCAGAAGUAAGAAACUUUGUAAAGGACCAGAGCAUAAUAGCACUGCAAGAGUAAGGAAAGACAUAACCUCCUGAUCAUAAAUAAACCAUGAAGGUCAUGGUCA